rnacentral:sRNA from 1 species
GAGUCAGAGGCAGAGCGGGGGUGUGUGGAGGGCCGGCGGGGACCGCCGGGAGCGCGCGGAUGUCGGUGUUCCUGGGUCCAGGGAUGCCCUCUGCAUCUUUAUUAGUAAAUCUUCUUUCAGCUUUACUCAUCCUCUUUGUGUUUGGAGAAACAGAAAUAAGAUUUACUGGACAAACUGAAUUUGUUGUUAAUGAAACAAGUACGACAGUUAUUCGUCUUAUCAUUGAAAGGAUAGGAGAGCCAGCAAAUGUUACUGCAAUUGUAUCGCUGUAUGGAGAGGACGCUGGUGACUUUUUUGACACAUAUGCUGCAGCUUUUAUACCUGCUGGAGAAACAAACAGAACAGUGUACAUAGCAGUAUGUGAUGAUGACUUACCAGAGCCUGACGAAACUUUUAUUUUUCACUUAACAUUACAGAAACCUUCAGCAAAUGUGAAGCUCGGAUGGCCAAGGACUGUUUCUGUGACAAUAUUAUCAAAUGACAAUGCAUUUGGAAUUAUUUCAUUUAAUAUGCUUCCCUCAAUCACAGUGAGUGAGCCCAAGGGCAGAAAUGAGUCUGUGCCUCUUACUCUCAUCAGGGAAAAGGGAACCUAUGGAAUGGUCAUGGUGACUUUUGAGGUAGAGGGUGGCCCAAAUCCCCCUGAUGAAGAUUUGAGUCCAGUUAAAGGAAAUAUCACCUUUCCCCCUGGCAGAGCAACAGUAAUUUAUAACUUGACAGUACUCGAUGAUGAGGUACCAGAAAAUGAUGAAAUAUUUUUAAUUCAACUGAAAAGUGUAGAAGGAGGAGCUGAGAUUAACACCUCUAGGAAUUCCAUUGAGAUCAUCAUUAAGAAAAAUGAUAGUCCCGUGAGAUUCCUUCAGAGUAUUUAUUUGGUUCCUGAGGAAGACCACAUACUCAUAAUUCCAGUAAUUCGUGGAAAGGACAACAAUGGAAAUCUGAUUGGAUCUGAGGAAUAUGAGGUUUCAAUCAGUUAUGCUGUCACAACUGGGAAUUCCACAGCACAUGCCCAGCAAAAUCUGGACUUCAUUGAUCUUCAGCCAAACACAACUGUUGUUUUUCCACCUUUUAUUCAUGAAUCUCACUUGAAAUUUCAAAUAGUUGAUGACACCAUACCAGAGAUUGCUGAAUCGUUUCACAUUAUGUUACUAAAAGAUACCUUACAGGGAGAUGCUGUGCUAAUAAGCCCUUCUGUUGUACAAGUCACCAUUAAGCCAAAUGAUAAACCUUAUGGAGUCCUUUCAUUCAACAGUGUUUUGUUUGAAAGGACAGUUAUAAUUGAUGAAGAUAGAAUAUCAAGGUAUGAUUUAUUUUAAAUAUAUUGCUACCAUUAUUUUAUUAUAUUAUUCCAGAUUUAAGUUUUGUGGUGUUGGACACAACAAUGAACUGUUAGAAUAUAUGUCAUUUUUUCCCACAAAGUUUCAUGACAAACUCAGAAAAGACACACACACACACAC